UAUUGAGUGGUCUAGUGGUUAGGAUUUGGUGCUCUCACCACCGUGGGUUCGAUUCCCGGUCAGGGA